CAUCUCAAUGUAAUUCACGUUAAUAUUGUGUACAACCCUAUUUUGUUUGUGUUGACACGAAUUCCACUAGACAGUCAAGUGAAACUGUAGCGGAUUUUCACUAAGUGUAUCGCCACAUCUGUUGGACGUGUUUGACGUUUAAAUUUCGCAAUAAUCAAACACGUCGCAAUAAAGAAACACGUCGUAAAAUUGGCAAACGAGGAGAGCGAGUUGGACCACCUGCAGCAAUCUUCAGCCAGCGAGUUAAAUUUGUCCGUCGAUCUGGUGAAUCUGCUUAAUCGAUAUGGAAUACAGUUUGUUGAUGCGGCGUCGGUAGGAUCAUUCCUGUCGCAGCUUGGAAUCGUCGGAACAGAUUAGCAAAUCCUGAUAUCAGCGGUGGAAGAUGCACUCCCAGGUGACCAGAACUCGGUGGAAGGAUCCGUGCUGCAGUGCAACAACGGAGAAUCAGAAGAGGGGAAUUUCAGCGAUGCCAAUGAGUCAGCGGCUGAGACCGUGUUCCAUUCCCUUGGCAGUGAUUCAUCCGGAAUUUUUAAUAUUGUAUCAUCAGAACGAGAAUUGACAAGUUCCCCCGAACCAGAAGCAGACCGCUUUCAGGAAGAGGUGGCGAAAAAUCUUCCGGAAGAUUCGCUUCCAUCGCCGCGGUAGCAAUCAUCGCGAUUGCUUAGUUUGAAAGUUGAGAUAGCUGAUGAAGCCGCAGUAACACAGCGCACUGUUCCUCCACCGGCAGUAAUAAGCGUCGAUCGUGAAGCCGGACCCGAAGCCGAACCUGAAGCCGAGCCCGAGGCCGAGCCCGGAGCCGGAAUCGCUGAUAUCCGGGAGGU